UUUCUAAUGUGUUUAUCUUCCGGGAGUCCAGGCUGGUUUGUGCUACUGGGCAGCGCAGGAGCCAAGGAAGUGAUGAUCUCAAUGAGGGACGCGGCUGUACUGUCAAUAAGAGGUAUGGCUGCAGCCUGGACAUUUCCUCGAGCUAUCUCAGAUGGGACUUCUAAAUGAUUCUCUGAGAAGGCAUUGCUACGAACAAGGGCAGGUAUAUGAUCCUUAGAGUUCAGUCUUGCCCAUGGAUCCUCCUCCGGUGACUGAAAAACACAAAGCCACCAGGUUCCAGAUGCUAGCAUGAUGACUUCCCUGGACAGACAACCCCACCAAUGUGUCCUGGAGGCCCGCUUCUCCAAAGCCCUGCCCCAGCCUGGGAGUAUGGAUCGACCUGUCAAUACCCAUGUUCAGCAGGAAAGCAGUUACAGAAGCCAGACCUCCCACAUUCUGCACCCCAUAAUGACCCUGGGUCCAUACUCCCAGAGGGAUAAAGAAUAGGAAAGCUAUGGGGGUGGGGGUACAGAAUUCUGGUGGUGGGUAUUGUGUGGAGUUGUACCCCUCUUAUUCUAUGUUUUUUUGUCGGUGUUUCCUUUUUAUAAAUAAAAUUUUUUUAAAAAAAUA